UGGGGAAUAUUGGACAAUGGGCGCAAGCCUGAUCCAGCCAUGUCGCGUGAGUGAUGAAGGCCCUAGGGUUGUAAAGCUCUUUCACCGGUGAAGAUAAUGACGGUAACCGGAGAAGAAGCCCCGGCUAACUUCGUGCCAGCAGCCGCGGUAAUACGAAGGGGGCUAGCGUUGUUCGGAUUUACUGGGCGUAAAGCGCACGUAGGCGGACUUUUAAGUCAGGGGUGAAAUCCCGGGGCGCAACCCCGGAACUGCCUUUGAUACUGGAAGUCUUGAGUAUGGUAGAGGUGAGUGGAAUUCCGGGUGUAGAGGUGAAAGUCGUAGAUAUUCGGGGGAACACCAGGGGAGAAGGCGGCUCACUGGACCAUUACUGACGCUGAGGUGCGAAAGCGUGGGGAGCAAACAGG
rnacentral:rRNA from 1 species